GAUGUUGAUCCUGGCUCAGAUUGAACGCUGGCGGCAUGCCUAACACAUGCAAGUCGAACGGCAGCACAGCAGUAGCAAUACUGUGGGUGGCGAGUGGCGGACGGGUGAGUAAUGCAUCGGGAUCUACCCANACGUGGGGGAUAACGUAGGGAAACUUACGCUAAUACCGCAUACGUCCUACGGGAGAAAGCGGGGGACCUUCGGGCCUCGCGCGGUUGGACGAACCGAUGUUUGAUUAGCUAGUUGGUAGGGUAAUGGCCUACCAAGGCGACGAUCGAUAGCUGGUCUGAGAGGAUGAUCAGCCACACUGGAACUGAGACACGGUCCAGACUCCUACGGGAGGCAGCAGUGGGGAAUAUUGGACAAUGGGCGCAAGCCUGAUCCAGCAAUGCCGCGUGUGUGAAGAAGGCCUUCGGGUUGUAAAGCACUUUUAUUCAGGAGCGAAAUACUAUCGGCUAAUAACCGGUGGGGCUGACGGUACCUGAGGAAUAAGCACCGGCU
rnacentral:rRNA from 1 species